rnacentral:rRNA from 1 species
UCUCUGUAUUAAUCCAUGCCUANUCGAGCAGGGUUCGCGCCCUCGGCGUACUGCUCAGUAACACGUGGAUAACCUGCCCUAAGGAAGGGGAUACCCCCGGGAAACUGGGGAUAAUACCCUAUAGGUUACAGAUGCUGGAAUGCUCUGUAACCGAAAGUUCCGGCGCCUUANGAUGGAUCUGCGGCCGAUUAGGUUGUUGUCGGGGUAACGGCCCAACAAGCCAGUAAUCGGUACGGGUUGUGGGAGCAAGAGCCCGGAGUUGGAUUCUGAGACACGAAUCCAGGCCCUACGGGGCGCAGCAGGCGCGAAAACUUUACAAUGCGGGCAACCGUGAUAAGGGAACCUCGAGUGCCUGUAUAUGCAGGCUGUCUGGGUGUCUAAAACACACCUAAAGAAAGGGCCGGGCAAGACCGGUGCCAGCCGCCGCGGUAAUACCGGCGGCUCGAGUGGUGGCCACUUUUAUUGGGCUUAAAGCGUUCGUAGCUGGGUUAUUAAGUCCCUUGGGAAAUCCGACGGCUUAACCGUCGGGCGUCUAAGGGAUACUGGCAAUCUUGGAACCGGGAGAGGUGAGGGGUACUUCGGGGGUAGGAGUGAAAUCCUGUAAUCCUCGAGGGACCACCUGUGGCGAAGGCGCCUCACCAGAACGGCUUCGACAGUGAGGGACGAAAGCUGGGGGAGCAAACCGGAUUAGAUACCCGGGUAGUCCCAGCCGUAAACGAUGUGCGUUAGGUGUAUCGGUGACCACGAGUCACCGAGGUGCCGAAGGGAAACCGUGAAACGUACCGCCUGGGAAGNACGGUCGCAAGGCUGAAACUUAAAGGAAUUGGCGGGGGAGCACCACAACAGGUGGAGCCUGCGGUUU